GUUAAUCGGAAUUACUGGGCGUAAAGCGCACGCAGGCGGUUUGUUAAGUCAGAUGUGAAAUCCCCGGGCUCAACCUGGGAACUGCAUCUGAUACUGGCAAGCUUGAGUCUCGUAGAGGGGGGUAGAAUUCCAGGUGUAGCGGUGAAAUGCGUAGAGAUCUGGAGGAAUACCGGUGGCGAAGGCGGCCCCCUGGACGAAGACUGACGCUCAGGUGCGAAAGCGUGGGGAGCAAACAGGAUUAGAUACCCUGGUAGUCCACGCCGUAAACGAUGUCGACGUGGAGGUUGUGCCCUUGAGGCGUGGCUUCCGGAGCUAACGCGUUAAGUCGACCGCCUGGGG
rnacentral:rRNA from 1 species